rnacentral:misc_RNA from 1 species
GGCACAAGCACUAUCUACAACCAAUAAAAUAGUUCCAACAACAGCAUACUUGGCUUAAUAAGUUGUAAUUUAUAAAUGAACAUCUCUCAGCUUAUAAAUAAAAUGUUAAAUUCGAGUUCCCAUUUCUCUCCUUAAAAAUAAUUACACUAAUUAACAAAAAUAAAAUUUCUACAACACCAAGUAAUUAGUUGUAAAUUCCAUGAAGAGAAAGAGAAGAGUUGAAGGAAAGCAACUUCAAGCACACAUGUAUGAGCAUCAAAGCAAAGACCAUCUGGGUAGGUUGGGCUUCUGUUUGAUCUGAAGCAGUAGCCAAGCAUAUAACUAAGGUGAACAAAAAAGAUAGUGAGAAAUUUAAAUCGAAACAUUUAAACUCUUGCCUCUCUUUCAAUCCUUGAAGGGAAUAUUGCUCCUGAUCAUACUCAACAGGAGUAAAGAACAAUCCCUCCGUUAUGGCCCGAUCAUAAAACACCAUCGCUGACCAUCUUUUUCUAUCAUCAUCAUCAUCCUCCAAGUUAUCAUCAAACAUUAGAUGGACUCCACA